UCAGUGUGUCCCAAAUUCAGAAGCAGAAAAUGGAUGUACUUCUACCUCCUCGGAAGAUGACCGGAAGAAAAAAUGAAAAAUAUCAAAGGCAAGUAAACCUUGAUUUGUCACAAUGGAUUAUUUUGCUUUUAUUUAAGACUUUUUAAAUUAUAUAUUUAAUAAUACACAAUUAUG
rnacentral:lncRNA from 1 species